UACAGAGAUAUAAAUUUAGGUCCAUAUAACCCAGCCCUAGUUUAUAGAUUGAGUUAUAUAGACUGUGAGGGGUGGAAGACCUCCAAUAAAUUGAGUCUUGGACAUAAAGGGCACAAAGAAGCGACACCACUAACAUCCUGAAGUUGAUUUUUGUUGUGUCAUUGUUUGUGUUUACCUAACACCUCCUUUUGAUCCAUUAUAUAGUCCUGUUUUCUUAAGCCAUUUGUGAUGAGUUAAGAGGUGAACGCUUCUGUUUGUGUGUGUGUGUGUGUGUUUGUUUAAAAGGGAGAGUGACUCAAUCCAUUUUCAUCCUGUACUGUUGCCUGAAGCACUGAGUCACUUCCAGUACGUUAGAUUAUCCACCACCAACAGUUUCUCCAACCACAACACAAACACCGACAUCCCUGAACGUGAACUUUACUCCAUUUAUCUUUCCUGCUUAUCUCUUCACGUAUGUUAUGCAUGUUUCACAAUAAACCAAAAACAUCUGCCUCGCUUCCUCUGGGAUCUCCCUCCUAACGGUUUAGUAAAUCCACGACUUUGUUCUUCUGUAUCGGUGACCUUGCUUUAUGUGUGUUUUAAUCGGUGACACAUUCACAUUGAUCUUUUAUGUCUUUAAUGUGACUCUAAACAAUAACCUGUAGUGCAGAUUUCAUAGACAGAUUAAAGGAUUUGGAUAAAGGCAUUCUCAUUUGGUUUUGGAAUAGCAUCAGGGAGAAGGGAAACCGCGCGAAAUGUCGGCCAAUCACAGCUCAGUACGACAGCUGGCGGAGGAUACUACAAUGGCGUACAGUUCUGACAAAGGGUUUGGCCAUCACUCAUCACCAUUUUGUGUCCAAUUGAAGAAAUGGCAAAGAUCUCACAAGUUUGCAGAGAAAUACAUGCUAAGAGAAAUGACAGGACAGGGGGACACACAUUUGUCCAGAUGAGCUGCAGUAACAGGCUUUUGUUUAGACAGGAGUGUCUCUCUGCAGGGAACAAGGUGACAGGGAAUUAAACAUCACCUGACUUUACUGUACGCUCCGUGGGUGCUGUGACAUCUUCAAGACCACUGAAGCAUCUAACCACCUGCCUGCAGUCAUGCAUUUACACCUUUGCAGUUUACUCAUAUCACACUUGAAACACCCGCCCCACCUCACCCGUUUCUCCACAGGGCAAAACAAUGUAAAGCCCCCUCGGACAGAGAGAGAAAGAGGGAUGGAGCGAGCGAGCGAGUGAGAGAGUGAGUCAUGAGUGCAGCUUUGAACAACAAGGGGAAAUCCUCCUAUUGAUCGACAUGCGCUGUGGAAACAUGCAUCAUUCACACAGACAAGAUGUCAGGUGUGAAAUUCCUGCCAAGCUGUCAAAAACCAAUAAGUGAAGGGCAGUUUGUGAGAAGAUGGGACUGUUUUAUCCUCUGACGGCUGUUUGCUCUAAAUCAAGAGAUUGACUGUAUGAAAUAGAAAAACAUGGUGGGACGGAUGUACACGGCAAGAUAAGCAUAAGGAGCACAAAGGAUAUAUUCACACGCUGUCAUCGGCAGGUGAAAAAAACUGAUGAGGGCCUGACCCAGGGGUGACACAAGUCCGCACCAAACCAUUGGUUUAAAAUAGGCUCCAUCUUUUCACGUUCCUAAGAACGUUCGACCUGUAACCUCGCUGACUCAGGCUGGACCUCCCCACGUUCCUCACGCUCAGAUCUACCACAAGGUGUUGUAAGAGAGAUUCACAAUGGCAUGUCGUGGUUUUACUGUUCACCCUGAUAAUAUUGUCGUCUUUAGUGAGGGGUGCAGGGCGGGAGGACGAGGGAGAUAAGACACCUCACAAUGUUCUUAGCAGGCAAUCGCACGUUGCUACGUAAGCAGCCACAAGUUUCUUUAGAAGUGUUUGGUAUGUGUCGGGGGGGUUGGGUAUGUGUUGGAUGGUCGCCUGUAAUUUGGUGAUAGGAACUCCUUUAAACUGAGAACUUGCUCUCUUUAUCACAGGGGUCCUAAUGAAGAUCAUUUGUUGAUGCUUUAACAUAUCUUUAUAGUCACAGACUGUAACUGACGCCUCAAUGAAAGAAAGAAAUUCAUAGAGAACCCCCAUAUUGAUAUUUACUCAUCUUUGUUUGUGACCAAUUUGUGUCCAUUUAAGGUGGUUAACUUCAUUUUUAGACAGGACAGUAAGAUAUUUAAACAUCAAAGAGUGCACAGAAGUCAACAAGUCAACCAUUUGAACAAAAGGGAGU